CUUCAACUCAACUUUUGACAGCAAUUUGCUUGUCUUGAUAGACAGAGUCAUCUAUGUAUCUUUACAUGGCCAACCUCCACACUGGGUGUCAGUUGGUGUUACUGCUGCUGGUGCCAUUGAACUUUGAACUCUUUGAGUGGCCCAUGGUGUGAGAGAAGCCAUGAGCUUGCUUCUGGUAUCUCUUCUCAUAAAGAAGACAUGAGCUUUAGUCACCUGCAAGACUCAUUCACCAUUGGCCUUUGGUCGAGCAACAAGAGGCUGAGGCAUAAGUCCCCAGGCAAAAGCCUACUAAUCCAUGUGCAUGGCUGAAAGGUAUGCUUUAAUGGGAAAAAGGUAUGUUGGCAUUUCAUACAGGAAUCUGUCGUGUUUUGGGAGUGUUCCAACACCACCUCCUAUUGGCCAUUCCACACCUGAAAGAGGGAGAAGACAACAUACAUGGAAAAGGAGGCAAUAAUGGAGAAUCUGACUUGUCUUGAAACAUGAAGAAAGAAUGGAGAUAAAAUAGAAAACUAGUGCUUCUAGACUUAGCACUACAUCAAGGCCAGCCAAUGAGACUGACUAUAAGGGAUAUGCUUCAUCAUCGCAGUGGAUCGGAGGAGGCAGAUUCCUCACUCAGUUUUUGAUGAGGAUGCCAGGAAGGAUUGCACAUCAUCAGUGGGAUGGACAGGUCAGAUGAUGGAAUGGCAUUCAGGUGAAGGGUGGAGUCUGACUACUGCACCAUUCCUCCAUGUCAACGCAUUCAUGCUUUCAUGUGGCGACUUUCUGCAUGCAAACUGCAUGCGUUUCCCGAAAAGUUACGUGAACUUUUUUAGGGCAUCCCCGAAGCAUCAUAAUGUCACUAAAAGCUUUGCAUUUGUGCUGCCACUCUUUAUGCCAGAUUGUAUGUGUUUAGGUGUCUCUUCACAGAGAUAUCACGAACAAAGAUCAUCAUAUAUUAU